rnacentral:rRNA from 1 species
GAUGAACGCUAGCUACAGGCUUAACACAUGCAAGUCGAGGGGCAGCACAGUGUAGCAAUACACGGGUGGCGACCGGCGCACGGGUGCGUAACGCGUAUCCAACCUUCCCGUUACUCUUGGAUAGCCUUCCGAAAGGGAGAUUAAUACAAGAUGGUAUUCAAAUUCCGCAUGUUAUUUGAAUUAAAGAUUUAUCGGUAACGGAUGGGGAUGCGUGACAUUAGGUAGAUGGCGGGGUAACGGCCCACCAUGCCUACGAUGUCUAGGGGUUCUGAGAGGAAGGUCCCCCACACUGGAACUGAGACACGGUCCAGACUCCUACGGGAGGCAGCAGUGAGGAAUAUUGGUCAAUGGUCGGAAGACUGAACCAGCCAAGUAGCGUGAAGGAUGAAGGUUCUAUGGAUUGUAAACUUCUUUUAUACGGGAAUAAAACACCUUACGUGUAGGGUCUUGUAUGUACCGUAUGAAUAAGCAUCGGCUAACUCCGUG